CCUAGUCUCAACCAUAAACGAUGCCGACCAGGGAUCGGCGGAUGUUGCUUAUAGGACUCCGCCGGCACCUUAUGAGAAAUCAAAGUCUUUGGGUUCCGGGGGGAGUAUGGUCGCAAGGCCACAACUUAAAGGAAUUGACGGAAGGGCACCACCAGGCGUGGAGCCUGCGGCUUAAUUUGACUCAACACGGGGAAACUUACCAGGUCCAGACAUAGCAAGGAUUGACAGACUGAGAGCUCUUUCUUGAUUCUAUGGGUGGUGGUGCCUGGCCGUUCUUAGUUGG
rnacentral:ncRNA from 1 species